GAUGAACGCUGGCGGCGUGCCUAAUACAUGCAAGUCGAGCGAACAGACGAGGAGCUUGCUCCUCUGACGUUAGCGGCGGACGGGUGAGUAACACGUGGAUAACCUACCUAUAAGACUGGGAUAACUUCGGGAAACCGGAGCUAAUACCGGAUAAUAUAUUGAACCGCAGGGUUCAAUAGUGAAAGACGGUUUUGCUGUCACUUAUAGAUGGAUCCGCGCCGCAUUAGCGAGUUGGUAAGGUAACGGCUUACCAAGGCAACGAUGCGUAGCCGACCUGAGAGGGUGAUCGGCCACACUGGAGCUGGGACACGGUCCAGACUCCUACGGGAGGCAGCAGUAGGGAAUCUUCCGCAAUGGGCGAAAGCCUGACGGAGCAGCGCCGCGUGAGUGAUGAAGGUCUUCGGAUCGUAAAACUCUGUUAUUAGGGAAGAACAAAUGUGUAAGUAACUAUGCCCGUCUUGACGGUACCUAAUCAGAAAGCCCCGGCUAACUACGUG
rnacentral:rRNA from 1 species